rnacentral:rRNA from 1 species
CCUACGGGAGGCAGCAGCAGGGAAUAUUGCGCAAUGGGCGAAAGCCUGACGCAGCGACGCCGCGUGAGGGAUGAAGGCCUUCGGGUUGUAAACCUCUUUUCAGGGGGACGACAAAGACGGUACCCCUGGAAUAAGCGCCGGCCAACUACGUGCCAGCAGCUGCGGUAAAACGUAGGGCGCAAGCGUUGUCCGGAUUUACUGGGCGUAAAGGGCGUGUAGGCGGCCUGGAAAGUCGGGUGUGAAAUCUCGCGGCUCAACUGGGAGGAGUCAUCCGAUACUUCUAGGCUCGAGGGGGGCAGAGGAGAGUAGAAUUCCCGGUGUAACGGUGAAAUGUGUAGAGAUCGGGAGGAAUACCAGUGGCGAAAGCGGCUCUCGGGGCCCCUCCUGACGCUGAGGCGCGAAAGCGUGGGGAGCAAACCGGAUUAGAUACCCGGGUAGU